rnacentral:tRNA from 1 species
CGGGGUGUAGCGCAGUCCGGUUAGCGCGCCUGCUUUGGGAGCAGGAGGCCCUGAGUUCAAAUCUCAGCACCCCGA